GAGAUCAAGGAUGCUGUUGGGAGUCUGAGAUGUAUCAGAACACAUGUUUGUUUAAAGCCACUGAGUUGGAGCUGCCAGGGAGGAGGAGGAGAGGCAGGGCCCAUGGAGCAUCUAGUGUCAGGAAUAGAGGCUGUUUCAAGAAGGAUGUUUCGAGAAGGAGAGGGAGGUCAAUAGUGUCAAACGUUGCUGAGAAGUGGCUCUGAGCACGGGAUCCCACACUGGGACUUGGCAGCAAGGAUCACAACACCAAGAGCCAUUUGGUGACACAGGGGAUGAAGGCCUGCUCAAGGGCACCGAGGAGAGGGUGGCGGCUGGAGCGCAAUGACGAAAUCUGGGCUCACUGCAACCUCUGCCUCCCAGGUUCAAGUGAUUCUCCUGCCUCAGCCUCCCAAGUAGCUGGGACUAUAGGCAGGCACCACCACACCCAGGAGAUCCCGGGAGGAAAAGAAACUGAGGCUGCACAAGACAGGCAACUGGGUUCCAGUAGUACCAAUUGUGAAGAAACCGAGGCUCAGGGACCCCUGAGAGCAGAGGGAAGGGACGUCAUUCUGCAGAGUGACCAGCAGGGGGCGAGCGGGACUGCUCUGUGGCUCCGAGGACCCAGCGGCAGGUGCACUGCUCUGAGAGUGAACGCUGCCUUACAUUUUGCACGGUAAAGCACCAUGACUCAGAGAAGGCAAGUGACUUGCCUAAAAUCACAGGGCCCACAGAGUCACAGCCAGAAUGCAAGCCUGGGCCCUCAGAUCUGGAGUAUGCCCUCUUCACCAUGGCUCCAGGCACCAAAACUCCAGGUAGCUUUGGAUUUUGUGCUAUCUGUGUUUUAUUUUCCUUAAUAUAUAUUUUAAACGGAC
rnacentral:lncRNA from 1 species